rnacentral:lncRNA from 1 species
AUGCAUAACAUUCUUCAACAAAUGCAUCGUGGAGAGGCCGUUUCACAUGUUAACAAUCAGACGAGUGUUACAGUGUGUAAAGCCGGGCGACUGGUUCACCUCAAUAGAUUUGAAGGACGCCUACUUCCACGUCACAGUGAUCCCCAAACACAGGAAAUUCCUGUGUUUCUCGUUCCAAGGGUCACACUACCAGUACAACCGUCUCCCGUUCGGCUAUUCUCUAGCACCACGAACGUAUUCCAAGUGCGUGGAGACGGCUCUCCGGCCGAUUCACGCAACAGAAAUGAGAGUACUGUUCUACUUGGACAAUCUGCUUUUGAUGGCUCGCUCCAAGGAGGAAGCAGCUAUUCAAACAAAAAAGCUGGUGAUUCACCUGCAGAAUUUAGGCUUCGCCAUAAAUUGGAAGAAGAGCUCCCCCCUCCCCUCACAGAGUGUGAUGUAUUAGGGGGUAGAGCUGGAUUCAGUUGUAAUGAGAGCACGGCUCUCACAGCAGAGGAUGGAGACGCUGUGGUCUCUCCUCCGCCGCUGUUCCCCGGGCAGCGUCGUGACAGCCCUCUCUGUCAUGAGGCUGCUGGGCAUGAUAUCCGCCGCUCACACGGUGGUGCCGCUGGGGCUGCUUCACAUGAGGCGGCUGCAGAGAUGGUUUUCUCGCCUGCGCCUCGACCCGGUGCACCAACGGCGGCGCAAAUGGACCAUUCCCCUAUCAGUGGGCCCCGAUUUGACCCACUGGGGCAAUCCCCAAACUCUUGCGAGAGGGGUGCCGUUGGGCAGAGCAACGUCACACAUCUCGGUGUUCACGGAUGCUUCUCUGUCGGGCUGGGGAGGAACAUGCGAGUUUCACGUAGUGGGCGGCGUUUGCCCCCCCCCCGUGACCAUGCACAUAAAUGCAUUGGAGCUCCUCACUGUGUUGAAAGUGGUCCAACACUUUGCCCCAUCGUUGACAAAUCAACAUGUAAUGAUUUGCACGGACAACAAGGCGACAGCGGCAUACAUAUAUCGCCAAGGGGCCGUGCGCACGGCACAGCUGCUGAGCAUAGCGAGACAGCUGUUAUGCUGGGCGCACACGCACUUGCUCUGCAUCAGAGCAGCGUACAUCCCCGGCAACACACGAGUGCACCGUGGUUUCCCUGCCUCCAGCGUCUGCUCUCGGGGCCACCGAAGGAACUCCCUUGGCGGUGGGACGCUCUCUCACAGGCAGGGGGAGCAAUCAUAGAUUACCCAGAGAUCGGCCAGCGCUUGUGGGCCUGGCCGCUGAACGCGAGCGCCUAG